rnacentral:rRNA from 1 species
GACGAACGCUGGCGGCGUGCUUAACACAUGCAAGUCGAACGGAAAGGCCCUGCUUUUGUGGGGUGCUCGAGUGGCGAACGGGUGAGUAACACGUGAGUAACCUGCCCUUGACUUUGGGAUAACUUCAGGAAACUGGGGCUAAUACCGGAUAGGAGCUCCUGCUGCAUGGUGGGGGUUGGAAAGUUUCGGCGGUUGGGGAUGGACUCGCGGCUUAUCAGCUUGUUGGUGGGGUAGUGGCUUACCAAGGCUUUGACGGGUAGCCGGCCUGAGAGGGUGAACGGCAACAUUGGGACUGAGAUACGGACCAGACGGCUACGGGAGGCAGCAGUGGGGAAUAUUGCAAAAUGGGCGGAAGCAUGAUGCAGAAACGCCGCGGGCGGGAUGACGGCCUUCGGGUUGUAAACAGCUGUCGCCUGUGACGAAGCGUGAGUGACGGUAAUGGGUAAAGAAGCACCGGCUAACUACGUG